rnacentral:rRNA from 1 species
GACGAACGCUGGCGGCGUGCUUAACACAUGCAAGUCGAACGGAAAGGCCCUGCUUUUGUGGGGUGCUCGAGUGGCGAACGGGUGAGUAACACGUGAGUAACCUGCCCUUGACUUUGGGAUAACUUCAGGAAACUGGGGCUAAUAUCGGAUAGGAGCUCCUGCUGCAUGGUGGGGGUUGGAAAGUUUCGGCGGUUGGGGAUGGACUCGCGGCUUAUCCGCUUGUUGGUGAGGUAGUGGCUUACCAAGGUUUUGACGGGUAGCCGGCCUGAGAGGGUGACCGGCCACAUGGGGACUGAGAUACGGCCCAGACGCGUACGGGAGGCAGAAGUGGAGAAUAUUGCACAAUGGGCGGAAGCCUGAUGCAGCAACGCCGCGUGCGGGAUGACGGCCUUCGGGUUGCAAACCGCUUUCGCCUGUGACGAAGCGUGAGUGACGGUAAUGGGUAAAGAAGCACCGGCUAACUACGUG